CAAGAAUUCGCCGUUAUCUUUUUGCUGUCGCGUGGUGUUGGUAAAUUGGUCAACAAUUUUCAAAAAGAUCCCGCCCUUGUUUGUCAGCAGUUGUGCGCGCCACCUCGUGUACGAAAUUGACACUACCUAGUCCAAACAGCCCAGCACAGCACAGCAGCACAUGUGUCGUGCAAUGUGCAAAGGUGUGGUACGUAAAUUGAAAUAGUGAUAUGGGUGGGGUUCUUUUGUGCCCUAAGCCCUAUGCAUCAUUAUCGAGUAGCGCGAUAACUCAAGGGCAAACUCAGUAAAACGAUUGGGGAAGGGUAGACAACGAGGUAAAUCAGGGUGACGGAAAAGGUAUAAAUUGUGAGGGCAAUGGCAGGGAACCCUAAUCAGUCGAGUGAGCGGCUUCAACGCAGCAGCAUGAAUAAAGUAGGUCUAUUCACACUUGAAUCUCGCUGGUUUUUAAUAUUGCAAUUAUGGCCAUAACUCAGGCAUCGUGUUGUUGCUGGCGGUUCUGUCGUCAAAGGAUGGCAAUGGACGGCAAACCAAAGCUGUACCGAUGUGUCGUGGGUAUAGCAGUUAUUCUUAUCAAAUUACCACCACGACUCUCGAGUGUUAUACUACAACCUACGCUGUACCCGUGCCUGCAUACUACACCGAGGCUUCAAAGUACUAUCCCCACCCCCAAGGCGCCGGAAUAUCAUACUACCAACUACGCUGUCACAUUUUAACAUAUAUUCGG